GUGGCGACGGGUGAGUAACACGUGGGCAAUCUGCCCUUCACUCUGGGACAAGCCCUGGAAACGGGGUCUAAUACCGGAUAACACUCUGUCCCGCAUGGGACGGGGUUAAAAGCUCCGGCGGUGAAGGAUGAGCCCGCGGCCUAUCAGCUUGUUGGUGGGGUAAUGGCCUACCAAGGCGACGACGGGUAGCCGGCCUGAGAGGGCGACCGGCCACACUGGGACUGAGACACGGCCCAGACUCCUACGGGAGGCAGCAGUGGGGAAUAUUGCACAAUGGGCGAAAGCCUGAUGCAGCGACGCCGCGUGAGGGAUGACGGCCUUCGGGUUGUAAACCUCUUUCAGCAGGGAAGAAGCGAAAGUGACGGUACCUGCAGAAGAAGCGCCGGCUAACUACGUGCCAGCAGCCGCGGUAAUACGUAGGGCGCAAGCGUUGUCCGGAAUUAUUGGGCGUAAAGAGCUCGUAGGCGGCUUGUCACGUCGGAUGUGAAAGCCCGGGGCUUAACCCCGGGUCUGCAUUCGAUACGGGCUAGCUAGAGUGUGGUAGGGGAGAUCGGAAUUCCUGGUGUAGCGGUGAAAUGCGCAGAUAUCAGGAGGAACACCGGUGGCGAAGGCGGAUCUCUGGGCCAUUACUGACGCUGAGGAGCGAAAGCGUGGGGAGCGAACAGGAUUAGAUACCCUGGUAGUCCACGCCGUAAACGUUGGGAACUAGGUGUUGGCGACAUUCCACGUCGUCGGUGCCGCAGCUAACGCAUUAAGUUCCCCGCCUGGGGAGUACGGCCGCAACGCUAAAACUCAAGGAAUUGACGGGGGCCCGCACAAGCAGCGGGAGCAUG
rnacentral:rRNA from 1 species